rnacentral:misc_RNA from 1 species
AAAGUCGUAACAAGGUCUCCGUUGGUGAACCAGCGGAGGGAUCAUUACCGAGUUGCAAAACUCCCAAACCCCAAUGUUUAUCUAUCUCGAAAACGUCUGCUUCGGCGGGCGGCCCCAGGGCGGGGCCGCAGCCUAGCGCUUCGGCGCCGGGCGCCCGCCGGAGAGGACAACCCAAAACUCUUGUUUUCCAUGAAACUCUGAGCAUAAAAGACAAAUAGUCAAAACUUUCAACAACGGAUCUCUUGGUUCUG